rnacentral:rRNA from 1 species
GACGUAGGAUGCAAGCGUUGUCCGGAUUUAUUGGGCGUAAAGAGUUCGUAGGCGGUUCGUUAAGUCUGAUGUUAAAGAUCGGGGCUCAACCCUGGGAGUGCAUUGGAUACUGGCGAACUGGAGUGCGGUAGAGGCUAGUGGAAUUCCCAGUGUAGCGGUGAAAUGCGUAGAUAUUGGGAAGAACACCUAUGGCGAAGGCAGCACUCUGGGACGGUACUGACGCUGAGACGCGAAAGCGUGGGGAGCGAACAGG